rnacentral:rRNA from 1 species
ACAGAUUGAAAGCUCUUUCUGAUUUUGUGAUGGUGGUGCAUGGUCCGUUUUUUAGUUGGUGGAUUGAUUUGUCUGGUUAAUUCCGAAAACGAACGAGACCUUAACCUGUUAACUAUGUGAUGUUAAAAAUUCGACUUCGGUCUCAAUAUUUGAUAUUAAAAAUUUAAUACUUCUUAAAGGAACAAUUCAAACUUUAAUUGAAUGGAAGUUUUAAGGCAAAAACAGGUCUGUGAUGCCCUUCGAUGUUCUGGGCUGCACGCGCGUUACACUGAUAUGUUCAAUGAGUUUUUAAAUUUCCUAGUCUGAAAAGACGUGGUAAACUUAGAAAAACAUAUCGUGAUUGGAAUAGUAUUUUGUAAUUAUCGCACUUGAACGAGGAAUUCCUAGUAGGGGCAAUUCAUCAAAUUGCCCCGAUUACGUCCCCGCCCUUUGUACACACCGCCCGUCGCUUCUACCGAUUGAAUAAUGCGAUGAGGAUUCAGGAUCGAUUAGAAUUAAUUGUUUGAAAGGAUAAUUAAGACUAGUUGCUAAUUUAUUCAAAUCUUAUUAUUUAGAGGAAGGAG